rnacentral:lncRNA from 1 species
GUGUCUGUGUAGAGUGCGUGCAGCACUCGUUUGCUCGUUUUCUUUCCUCAACUCUGCGCUUGUGCCACCGCAUAUGUAAGUUUGGUUACACAUUUCUUGGUAAAACGUUUUUAUUCGAUACCGAUUCGUAUACCGAUCAUUAAAGCCAUCCAAGCUGAAUACGGAUCAAACCUAGAACAGUAAACAUUUCCGCGCGCCAUUUACCAUUUACCAUUUAUCACACACUUUUAAGAAGAUUAAUCCACUCGAAAGUCUCACUUUGGCAUCGUAUGUUUGGUGGUUUGGAAAUUGGAAAAACGAAAUCC